AUACGGAGGGUGCAAACGUUGUUCGGAAUUACUGGGCGUAAAGCGCGCGUAGGCGGUUUGUUAAGUCAGAUGUGAAAGUCCACAGCUCAACUGUGGAAGUGCAUUUGAAACUGGCAGACUUGAGUACUGGAGGGGGUGGUGGAAUUCCCGGUGUAGAGGUGAAAUUCGUAGAUAUCGGGAGGAAUACCGGUGGCGAAGGCGACCACCUGGCCAGAUACUGACGCUGAGGUGCGAAAGCGUGGGGAGCAAACGGGAUUAGAAACCCUUGUAGUCC
rnacentral:rRNA from 1 species